UACGUAGGGUGCGAGCGUCAAUCGGAAUUACUGGGCGUAAAGCGUGCGCAGGCGGUUCGUUGUGUCGGCGGUGAAAGCCCCGGGCUUAACCUGGGAAUGGCCGUUGAAACUGGCGAACUGGAGUGUGGCAGAGGGGGGUGGAAUUCCGCGUGUAGCAGUGAAAUGCGUAGAGAUGCGGAGGAACACCGAUGGCGAAGGCAGCCCCCUGGGCUGACACUGACGCUCAGGCACGAAAGCGUGGGGAGCAAACAGG
rnacentral:rRNA from 1 species